rnacentral:tRNA from 1 species
AAGAAAUUAGUUAAUAUAAUAACACAAGUUUGUCAAGCUUGAGUAACCCCUGAGGGUAUUUUUUA